GACGAACGCUGGCGGCGUGCUUAACACAUGCAAGUCGAACGGUGAAGCUCCAGCUUGCUGGAGUGGAUCAGUGGCGAACGGGUGAGUAACACGUGAGCAACCUGCCCCUGACUCUGGAAUAAGCGCUGGAAACGGCGUCUAAUACUGGAUACGAGAAGGGUCCGCAUGGGCACUUUCUGGAAAGUUUUUCGGUUGGGGAUGGGCUCGCGGCCUAUCAGCUUGUUGGUGAGGUAAUGGCUCACCAAGGCGACGACGGGUAGCCGGCCUGAGAGGGCGACCGGCCACACUGGGACUGAGACACGGCCCAGACUCAUACGGGAGGCAGCAGUGGGGAAUAUUGCACAAUGGGCGAAAGCCGGAUGCAGCGACGCCGCGUGAGGGAUGACGGCCUUCGGGUUGUAAACCUCUUUCAGCAGGGAAGAAGCGAAAGUGACGGUACCUGCAGAAGAAGCACCGGCUAACUACGU
rnacentral:rRNA from 1 species